AUUGAACGCUGGCGGAAUGCUUUACACAUGCAAGUCGAGCGGCAGCACGGGGGCAACCCUGGUGGCGAGCGGCGAACGGGUGAGUAAUACAUCGGAACAUGCCCAGUCGUGGGGGAUAACACUUCGAAAGAAGUGCUAAUACCGCAUACGUCCUGAGGGGGAAAGCGGUGGAUCGCAAGACCUCGCGCGAUUGGAUUGGCCGAUGUCAGAUUAGCUAGUUGGUGGGGUAAAGGCCUACCAAGGCAACGAUCUGUAGCUGGUCUGAGAGGAUGAUCAGCCACACUGGGACUGAGACACGGCCCAGACUCCUACGGGAGGCAGCAGUGGGGAAUUUUGGACAAUGGGGGCAACCCUGAUCCAGCCACUCCGCGUGAGUGAAGAAGGCCUUCGGGUUGUAAAGCUCUUUCGGCAGGAACGAAACGGUGAGCUCUAACAUAGCUUGCUAAUGACGGUACCUGAAGAAGAAGCACCGGCUAACUACGUG
rnacentral:rRNA from 1 species